AAUGACUAUCGAAUGUGGACGUUAUUUUAAAUUUUAUUCAAAAUAAAAUACAAAGAGGUGAAGAAGGAAGUUUUGUCAAAUUCCAAAUCUUCUAAGUUCACACCUGCAUAUUGAAAACACCAGAGGAGAUGGACCAAGAAUUCCCCUCCAAACAGAACAUGUGAAAAUUUGAAAGCAGGUCAUUUGAUUGGUCAAGCUGGUGCAACGCUACCAGUGUUAUACACCAUGCAUGUACACCAUGCUGCUGUGUGAUCAAGUGAGGGGCAUCACAAGGAAGGGGAAGAUAUUUAGAUCAUUCAUGGAGCCUUCAACAUCGUAUUAAAACCAAAUUAUAAAGAGAACUCAAGAAGCCAGAGUUUUACAUUUAGUCAUGACCAGUCAUGACAUUCAGCAAAUGAAUGAGUAUCUGAUGAAAAUUAGUGAGAGUUUUCAGAGAAUGGGAGAUACCGUCGGGACACCUUCACUAAGUCUGCUAAAUUAUACUACAACAAUAUAAUGACAAACAUUGCUGUUAUUCUCCCAAAGAACUUCAAAGAAAUAGUGAAGUCUUACAGUAUCUGAAGAAAAUCCUAGUCUUGCCUAGUAUUAUACCUGAGGGAAGUUUUGACCACUUAUCCUGAAGUUAUUCAUGCAUAUUAACAUGGGUCCACUAUGCACUACAUGUACUAUGAAUAUGCUUCAAAUAAUUAAAAAAAAAUUUAAUAAUGUACAUUCUUAAAUAAAAGAUAAAAAGUGUAUAAACAGUAGUCUCAUUGCAUGUAAAAUGAUAAUUCCAUCCUUUGUUACAAUUAUUGAAUUUUUAUAAAAUUGACAAAAAAAUUAAAGAAAUCUAUGUCAAAAGUGUCUAUUACUAUUUUCAA